rnacentral:rRNA from 1 species
UACGUAGGUGGCAAGCGUUGUCCGGAAUUACUGGGUGUAAAGCGCGUGUAGGCGGGAGGCCAAGUCUGCUGUGAAAUCGCUCGGCUCAACUGGGCGGGGUCGGUGGAAACUGGUCACCUGGAGGACGGUAGAGGCGAGUGGAAUUCCGGGUGUAGCGGUGGAAUGCGUAGAGAUCCGGAAGAACACCAGUGGCGAAGGCGGCCCGCUGGGCAGUGGCUGACGCUGAGGCGCGACAGCGUGGGGAGCAAACAGG